UCAGUCUCUGUCAAACCGUCUCUGUCUAUCAGUCUCUGUCUGUCAGUCUGUCAAACAGUCUCUGUCUAUCAGUCUCUGUCUAUCAGUCUCUGUCUAUCAGUCUUUAUCUGUCCUUAUCUGUCCUAUCUGACCUGUCAGUCUGUCAAACAGUCUAUCAUGCCUUGGUAUUAGAGCCCCUGCCAGAGGCUAUAUGUACCCAGGAAGGUCUAUCAGCCAGUCUAUCAUGCCUUGGUAUUAGAGCCCCUGCCAGAGGCUAUAUGUACCCAGGAAGGUCUAUCAGCCAGUCUAUCAUGCCUUGGUAUUAGAGCCCCUGCCAGAGGCUAUAUGUACCCAGGAAGGUCUAUCAGCCAGUCUAUCAUGCCUUGGUAUUAGAGCCCCUGCCAGAGGCUAUAUGUACCCAGGAAGGUCUAUCAGCCAGUCUAUCAUGCCUUGGUAUUAGAGCCCCUGCCAGAGGCUAUAUGUACCCAGGAAGGUCUAUCAGCCAGUCUAUCAUGCCUUGGUAUUAGAGCCCCUGCCAGAGGCUAUAUGUACCCAGGAAGGUCUAUCAGCCAGUCUAUCAUGCCUUGGUAUUAGAGCCCCUGCCAGAGGCUAUAUGUACCCAGGAAGGUCUAUCAGCCAGUCUAUCAUGCCUUGGUAUUAGAGCCCCUGCCAGAGGCUAUAUGUACCCAGGAAGGUCUAUCAGCCAGUCUAUCAUGCCUUGGUAUUAGAGCCCCUGCCAGAGGCUAUACGUACUCAGGAAGGUCUGACAAGUGUCAGAUUGUAAAACAAACCCACAUUAUGUCUCUAUAUGCAGAUGAUAUUUAACUAUUCAUUUAACUAUUCCCAUUGUUAUUGGUUUAGCUCUUUUUAUCAAAUCAAAACUUUUUGGGUCACAUGCGCCGAAUACAACAAGUGUCGACUUUACCGUGAAAUGCUAACUUUACCGUGAAAUGCUAACUUUACCGUGAAAUGCUGAAUACAACAAGUGUCGACUUUACCGUGAAAUGCUAACUUUACCGUGACAUGCUGAAUACAACAAGUGUAGACUUUACCGUGAAAUGCUAACUUUACCGUGACAUGCUAACUUUACCGUGAAAUGCUAACUUUACCGUGAAAUGCUGAAUACAACAAGUGUAGACUUUACCGUGAAAUGCUAACUUUACCGUGACAUGCUGAAUACAACAAGUGUAGACUUUACCGUGAAAUGCUAACUUUACCGUGACAUGCUGAAUACAACAAGUGUAGACUUUACCGUGAAAUGCUAACUUUACCGUGACAUGCUAACUUUACCGUGAAAUGCUAACUUUACCGUGAAAUGCUGAAUACAACAAGUGUAGACUUUACCGUGAAAUGCUAACUUUACCGUGACAUGCUGAAUACAACAAGUGUAGACUUUACCGUGAAAUGCUAACUUUACCGUGACAUGCUGAAUACAACAAGUGUAGACUUUACCGUGAAAUGCUAACUUUACCGUGACAUGCUAACUUUACCGUGAAAUGCUAACUUUACCGUGACAUGCUGAAUACAACAAGUGUAGACUUUACCGUGAAAUGCUAACUUUACCGUGACAUGCUGAAUACAACAAGUGUAGACUUUACCGUGAAAUGCUAACUUUACCGUGAAAUGCUAACUAAACCAACAGUGCAUUUCAAGAAGAGUUAAGAAAAUAUUUACCAAAUAAACUAAAGUAAAAAGUAACACAAUAACAAUAACAAGGCUAUAUACAGGGGGUACCGAGUCAAUGUUUAUUGAGGUAAUUUGUACAUGUAGGUAGGUGUAAAUUAACUAUGCAUAGAUAAUAAACAGAUAGUAGCAGCAGUGUACAUGUCGGUAGGUGUAAAUUAACUAUGCAUAGAUAAUAAACAGAGAGUAGCAGCAGUGUACAUGUCGGUAGGUGUAAAUUAACUAUGCAUAGAUAAUAAACAGAGUAGCAGCAGUGUAAAAAAACAAAUGGGGGGGGGGUCAAUGUAAAUAGUUCGGUGGCCAUUUGAUUAAUUGCUCAGCAGUCUUAUGGCUUGGGGGUAGAAUCUGUUAAGGAGCCUUUUGGACCUAGACUUGGCGCCCCGGUACCGCUUCCUGUGUGGUAGCAGAGAGAACAGUCUAUGACUUGGGUGAUUGGAGUCUCUGACAAUUUUUUGGGGCUUCCUUCUGACACCGCCUGGUAUAGAGGUCCUGGAUGUCAGGAAGCUUUGCCCCGGUGAUGUACUGGGCCGUACGCACUCCCCUCUGUAGCGCCUUACGGUCGGAUGCUGAGCGGUUACCAUACCAGGCGGUGAUGCAACCACUCAGGAUGCUCUCGGUGGUGCCGCUGUGUAACCUUUUGAGGAUGUGGGGACCCAUGCCUAAUCAAAAUUUGAAUAAGUCAGAAGCUAUGCCCUCUAGGGAAGCUAUGCCCUCUAGGGAAGCUAUGCCCUCUAGGGAAGCUAUGCCCUCUAGGGAAGCUAUGCCCUCUAGGGAAGCUAUGCCCUCUAGGGAAGCUAUGCCCUCUAGGGAAGCUAUGCCCUCUAGGGAAGCUAUGCCCUCUAGGGAAGCUAUGCCCUCUA